GCCCCCGCCGACCUCCGCGUGGCCACCUUGCCAUCCCUGCACCGGAGCUCCAGGAUGAGCGCCACACACUCCCCGCCUGCUGUGGGGGGGCUGAUUCCCUAACUGCCGCAGCUUGCUGAAGAUGGAUAUGGAGCACAAGAAAGAAAUAAUUUCUUCUUGCACUUUAUGAAUCAAUUUUAUUUUUAAAAUAAAAAACUUCAAAAUA